AAUGUGAGAGAAUGUCAUGGAAUCAAUGCGAAGCUCAACAAGGUCUGCACCUUCUGCUGUUGCUUUUUCCGUGGAAGAUAGCAUUUCACCUGCUGUUUCACAUUCCAAUGGAGUACACACCAGCACUUUUUUCUGGAAAUGGAAUGCCAUGAAUGUGUGUGUGCGAGCGUAUGUUACAAAUAGAGAAAAAGAGGCAGAGAAGGGGAGAUGUGGCUAUAGUUUCA
rnacentral:misc_RNA from 1 species